rnacentral:rRNA from 1 species
GACGAACGCUGGCGGCGUGCUUAACACAUGCAAGUCGAACGGAAAGGCCCUUCGUGGUUGUCGAGUGGCGAACGGGUGCGUAAGAGGAGGGUGAUCUGCACUGCACUUUGAGUUAAGCAUGGGUAACUGGGUCUAAUACCGAUUCGGGACACGCGCUUCUUGUUCUGGGGGGGAAAGCUUUUGCGGUGGGGGAUGGGCCCGCGGCCUAUCAGCUUGUUGGUGGGGUAGUGGCCUACCAAGGCGACGACGGGUAGCCGGCCUGAGAGGGUGACCGGCCACAUUGGGACUGAGAUACGGCCCAGACUCCUACGGGAGGCAGCAGUGGGGAAUAUUGCACAAUGGGCGCAAGCCUGAUGCAGCGACGCCGCGUGCGGGAUGACGGCCUUCGGGUUGUAAACCUCUUUCGAUAGGGACGAAGCGUAAGUGACGGUACUGAGAGAAGAAGCACCGGCUAACUACGUG